UUUGCGCGAACGGAGCGGCCGAUGGCAGAUUAGGUAGUUGGUGGGAUAAAAGCUUACCAAGCCGACGAUCUGUAGCUGGUCUGAGAGGACGACCAGCCACACUGAGACUGAGACACGGUCCCAGACUCUUACGGGAGGCAGCAGUGGGGAAUUUUGGACAAUGGGCGAAAGCCUGAUCCAGCCAUGCCGCGUGCAGGAUGAAGGCUUUCGGGUUGUAAACUGCUUUUGUACGGAACGAAAAGACUAUGGUUAAUACCUGGGGUCCAUGACGGUACCGUAAGAAUAAGCACCGGCUAAUUACGUGCCAGCAGCCGCGGUAAUACGUAGGGUGCAAGCGUUAAUCGGAAUUACUGGGCGUUAAGCGUGCGCAGGCGGUUAUAUAAGACAGAUGUGAAAUCCCCGGGCUCAACCUGGGAACUGCAUUUGUGACUGUAUAGCUAGAGUACGGCAGAGGGGGAUGGAAUUCCGCGUGUAGCAGUGAAAUGCGUAGAAGUGCGGAGGAACACCGAUGGGGAAGGCAAUCCCCUGGGCCUGUACUGACGUUCAUGCACGAAAGCG
rnacentral:rRNA from 1 species